AUCCAGCUGACGAGUCCCAAGUUGGACAAAACGCGCGUCAAACUUGAU
rnacentral:hammerhead_ribozyme from 1 species